CCUACGGGGGGCAGCAGUGGGGAAUAUUGGACAAUGGGGGCAACCCUGAUCCAGCCAUGCCGCGUGUGUGAAGAGGGCCCUCGGGUUGUAAAGCACUUUCAGUGAGGAAGAACGCCUGGUGGUUAAUACCCAUCAGGAAAGACAUCACUCACAGAAGAAGCACCGGCUAACUCCGUGCCAGCAGCCGCGGUAAUACGGAGGGUGCGAGCGUUAAUCGGAAUUACUGGGCGUAAAGCGCGCGAAGGUGGCUUGAUAAGCCGGUUGUGAAAGCCCCGGGCUCAACCUGGGAACGGCAUCCGGAACUGUCAAGCUAGAGUGCAGGAGAGGAAGGUAGAAUUCCCGGUGUAGCGGUGAAAUGCGUAGAGAUCGGGAGGAAUACCAGUGGCGAAGGCGGCCUUCUGGACUGACACUGACACUGAGGUGCGAAAGCGUGGGUAGCAAACAGGAUUAGAUACCCUUGUAGUC
rnacentral:rRNA from 1 species